UUAAUUCCUAAGUAUUUUAUUUUUGGAUGCUAUUGUAAGUGGAAUUGUUUUGUAAUUUCCUUUUCAGAUUGUUCAUUGUUAGUGUAUAGAAAUGGAACUGAUAUUUGUGUGUUGACUUUGUAUCCUGUUACUUUGCUGAAUUUAUUUUCUUUGUUAGUUCUAACAGUGUUUCCGCUCCCUCCCCUUUUUUAAAGUCCCUUUUAAGAUGAGUAAACAGAGUCCCAGAGUGGUGAAGAGACUGGUCACCAAGGUCACAUGGUCUCUCAUGUCUAGUUCAGUUGUCUAUGCUUUGUAUUGGCAAAGACCUACUGAAUGCUCUCUGCAGAGUGAGUACAGGACACUUUCUGGCUUCUUGCACACACGGAUGUAACUGUGAGUGUGCUAUGUGAGAUCCAUGUAAAUGGAAGAAUCCGGGAGCAUUAUAUUCCAUUAAUAACAAGAGUUUGUGUAAAAACGGCAGUUUGCUCUUGACAUAAAGUGCUCUGACGUGGAAUGCUUCUUCCUUUCUUAACCUUUCAGAUCUCCUGAUUGCCUUACAGUGUAGAUCUUCACACUCAAUCAAUUCUGCUUGCUUCUAAGGAGGCAUUUCUGUUUUCAAAAGGGGGGUUCAUGAGGGCAGUGAUAGCAGCAGUAGAAGGUCUGGGUAUGUUAGCUAGGACUUUCUUAGUGGCAGGUGAAAAAAACUGAAUGUGAACCAGGGAAACCAGAAAAGGGCAGCGUGGCGUUGGCUUUAGGGACUCCUGGAAUCAGGGACUUGAAUGUCGUGAGGACUCCUGCUCUCCACUGUUUGUCUUGGCUUCUUGGAGCAUCAGCUUGUUUGCUUGGACUGGCUUCUCAAGUGACGGGGCCAUUGUUGCUGCAGCUCUAGCCUAGCGUGUUUACAGUUCCAAGACAGAGAGGAAAGACCCUCUUUCCUCAGCUCGAGUUUGAAUAAACCCAGCAUAGAAUUCUGAUUGGCUGGACUUUGGUCACAUGUCUAUUUGUGGACCAAUCCCAGUGACUGAGGGUUGAGACUUUGUGAUUGGCCCAUCCUGGAUCAGGUGCCCACCUCUUGCCGCAUGUUAGAAACACCCGUCAGAACCACAUGGUUUGAAAAAGGCUCCAUCUACAGAGGCUGUUUUGGGCACCUAUUUUAGUAAUUUUUUCUUUGAAGUCUUCUUUCCCUCUGUCUGCGUAUAUAUAUGUAUUUAUAAAAUGACAUCAAGGAGAGAGAGCCUCUGUUAUGUCCUAAUCUCUCUUUGCCGCGUGGUUGCAACUGCACAUUCUUAACAAAGCAAGACUUAGUCUGGAAUCUGGAAGGAGGAAGAGAAAGUGAUGAUGAGCCAGUCCCGGUUUGGAACUCUGGAAUCCAGGUGACUGGAUCAUUCUCUUUCCCCGAGUUCCUUCACCAGUUUCUGUGUAUGGAGGAGACUGGAAAUGUCCACGUGCCUCCCUCAACCCCAAGGAGGAUAGGGAAGGGGAGUGAAUGAGAGCCCCAGGGCCUGCUUUAGGAUCGGGCAUGGCAAAAGGAAAGUGCCCCCUUGGGCCACAUAGACCAGUGGCCAGAUGAAGGAUGCUGCAGAGCUCAAGAGAGUCAGCCAGGGAGAACUACCAGGUCACUGUGGAGCUGCAAGAGGCCGCCCAGCUCAGCCCAGCCACGGGCUUCUGCAGGAGAGACCAGCACCCCUCCAGAUGCUGGCUGUUCCCUAAAAGUUACCAGUGCAGGAACAAGCCCAGUCUAGGCAUUUUGCAGCGGGGGACACCAUGUGGAACCAAGGACUCCUUCCCUUCCUUGAACAUCAUCUUGGGAAAGAGAAGAAGCAAGGACAUCUGAAAGACUGAACAUUUAUCCGAAAGCCAUCAAAUUAUCUAAGGACUCUGUUCACAUUUUGGGAUUGGCUUGAGAUUAUAGAAUUGACCUAAGUUUUCUGGUUCCCUCUUUCUGCUUGUAAGGGGAGAAGGGAAUGUGUAACAGAGUUU
rnacentral:lncRNA from 1 species